CGUGGAAUGAAAAUAUUUUUUUUAAAAGAAUUCCACCCAGAAUGUGAACCAUGGUUCUUGUGCAUAAGAGAUUGUAUAGUUGUAAGUUGGAAAGAUGUACCUGUGAUUUUCUUGUAGGUUUUGCAGCUGCUGUCUCAAGAUUGCUGCCUCCCUUUGCCAGAACUGAUGAGGCUCUGUGGGAUCAAAGACUAUAUGGAUGAAGAUGACAGCGUAAUGCUCCUCAGGAAACAUGACUCGCUCUAUUGGUAUGAGAUACCCUGUCAGAAUUGGAAUAACAUCAUCCUUCCCUCUGAGUCCCAUGUCCUGUUUAGAUUGUGUGUAGGAACUAACUAGAUCAGCGAGUGAAGAGUUGACGGUUGCAUAAUCCCUCAACCUUGUAUGAGAUUAAUGCUACAGUGGCAGGCAUCAUGAGUUGUUAACCCCAAAAGUAGGUAGCAGGGCUAUGUAGUGGGUAGCUGAAGCCAAGGCGACACAAGGGUAAAUGGAAGUAACUCAGGUUGUGCUGCGUAAAGACAAGAUUUAUCCAGUGUGGUUACAUCUACAUGGGAAAUUGGCGGGAGAAAUUUUUGGCACAAAAAUUGAGCUUUCUGGAAGAUUUUUAGAUCUACUGAAGCUAAUCUUGAAAGUGAAUCAGAAGCCAACCACAAGAGGGAAGGAGAGGCAGAGGGAUGUGAGUGUAGUCGUCAGGGUUAGUACGGAAGGUGAGGCAUCUAGUGCAAAAGAGAGAGUUCAUCAUGGACUUGUUCGAGGUCGAAAUUCCUCCAUCGUAUAAUAUUUCAUUUGGUUGAAAUUUGCA